UAUUCCAUAUGCAUAUUUAGAGAUAAUUAGGAGAUAAAGAAGAGAUAAUGUUAGGAUAAUUAUGCCAAGUAAUUGACUUAAUCAAAUCUUCUUGGGCUCACAAUUAAGAGUCCAAUAAAAUUCAAAUAGAUUUAGGUUAGGUUCAAGGCUAUAGACUUGAUCAAAUCGAAGUUUCGAGAAGAAUUAGGUUUAACCGUGUGCUAGUAUGGUUCUCA
rnacentral:lncRNA from 1 species